rnacentral:rRNA from 1 species
GAUGAACGCUGGCGGCGUGCCUAAUACAUGCAAGUCGAGCGAACAGACGAGGAGCCUGCUCCUCUGACGUUAGCGGCGGACGGGUGAGUAACACGUGGAUAACCUACCUAUAAGACUGGGAUAACUUCGGAAAACCGGAGCUAAUACCGGAUAACAUGUUGAACCGCAUGGUUCAACAGUGAAAGACGGUCUUGCUGUCACUUAUAGAUGGAUCCGCGCCGCAUUAGCUAGUUGGUAAGGUAACGGCUUACCAAGGCAACGAUGCGUAGCCGACCUGAGAGGGUGAUCGGCCACACUGGAACUGAGACACGGUCCAGACUCCUACGGGAGGCAGCAGUAGGGAAUCUUCCGCAAUGGGCGAAAGCCUGACGGAGCAACGCCGCGUGAGUGAAGAAGGUCUUCGGAUCGUAAAACUCUGUUAUUAGGGAAGAACAAAUGUGUAAGUAACUAUGCACGUCUUGACGGUACCUAAUCAGAAAGCCACGGCUAACUACGUG